AUAAUAUUUUUUAUACUCCAUAUUCUCCUUCCAUUCCGUUUUUCAUAAAAUCUAUAUGAAUUACAGUCCACUAUCACCGCACAGCUAGUGCAGUACUGUUUCAAGACGACCAGCAGUAACCACUAGCCACAAUCGAUCGGCCGUGAGCAGACAAUAUUACCUGUUGAACGUGGACGACGACGGAACGCGACGCAGCUGAUACGAUGAGAACUGUGAAGAUGCUUUCUCGGUAGUGGUCGCGGGUACAGUUGUCGCAGUGUUUCAACUCGUUGAGCUCGAGAUGAUUUUGUUCGUGAUAUUUGCGACGGUUUCCGUUGAAGCUCAUAUUGUAUUUAUGUCAAUGUCGUCCAUCCACGUGAUCUCUGCCGUCUGUCCUCGAUCGACAUAGUCGUCACUCGUCGGUAAGCACUCCAGCCCAUCGCUGUCAUUAAAUGUCGUCCCUGUCCAAUAGGGGAGCGUAUGCCUAGACUAGACAACGACAAUAUUUCGUGUGAUAUAGUACAUAAUAACUGUAGAAAAUAAUAAUACGUUUAAUCAAACGAUUAUAAAAAUAUUUUAUAUGUA
rnacentral:lncRNA from 1 species